ACUCCUACGGGAGGCAGCAGUGGGGAAUAUUGCACAAUGGGCGCAAGCCUGAUGCAGCCAUGCCGCGUGUAUGAAGAAGGCCUUCGGGUUGUAAAGUACUUUUCAGCAGUGAGGAAGGUGGGUAUGUUAAUAGCAUACUCAUUUGACGUUAGCUGCAGAAGAAGCACCCGGCUAACUCCGUGCCAGCAGCCGCGGUAAUACGGAGGGUGCGAGCGUUAAUCGGAAUUACUGGGCGUAAAGCGCAUGCAGGUGGUUUGUUAAGUCAGAUGUGAAAGCCCGGGGCUCAACCUCGGAAUUGCAUUUGAAACUGGCAAACUAGAGUACUGUAGAGGGGGGUAGAAUUUCAGGUGUAGCGGUGAAAUGCGUAGAGAUCUGAAGGAAUACCGGUGGCGAAGGCGGCCCCCUGGACAGAUACUGACACUCAGAUGCGAAAGCGUGGGAGCAAACAGGAUUAGAUACCCUGGUCGGCUGUGC
rnacentral:rRNA from 1 species